CACAUUUCACAUUGCAAAAUGCAAAUAUACAGUAAACGGAGAGAUAUUCUGCUGAUACGUCUUUCAGGAGAAACUAGAAAGAAAUGAAAUAAGAGUUUCCUUGUUGGUCAAGAAAUUACAGAGGUGAGAUUCAAAGCUCAGGCUGCAUAUUCUCGCACUCAUCUCGGAUAGACUGAAAAAGCAGGGUCGAGAGGUAACGUUCCCCAAAGCUCGGGAACACAACCUGGAAACAAACAUUCAUCAACUCACAUAUCAUACUUCUACCAAACAUGUGAAUCAAGCCUAGCUAAAAAGAUUAAGUAAAUAACUCGAGAACUAAUUUAAUUAUCCGGUGGAUUGUCACAGAUGCAGGACAAGUGAAUCGUUCUGACUAAAAGCUAAUAAAUCAAUUCCAAUCACGAAAAGAUGAAGAAGAACAUAGAUGAGAGCUUGAGGACUUACAGCUAUGAGUUUCCCGGCAUUUUCAGGUCUCUUUGCGACCUGGAUUGCAGCAGCAGCAGCAGCUCCAGAAGAUAUACCAACCUGAAUAUCGUUACAAUAGUUCAAUAAUCACCACACAUUUCUCAUACCAUUCAAUUCAUUUCUCCUUUAAAGACUGUUCCCAUUCAUGAAUAUGCCAAGCAGAAAAAAAAAGACUAACCAACAAGCCUUCUUGGAGAGCUAGUUGCUUUGCAAAUUCAAUAGCUUCCUCACUCGAAAUCUGAUAAGAAGCAAGGCAGCAGGUUAAGUUUGAAUCUCAAGACCCUAAAAACAUUCUAUAUCCUAUUCUUUCACAGGUCUUGCCCAAAUUGGAACCAUAAGACAGUAUGUUCUUGAUAGAACCAAACAAACAGAUCAUACCGCUAUGUAUUCAUCUACAACAGUCUGAUCCAAAUUCUUAGGAAUAAAUCCAGCUCCAAUCCCUUGAAUCUUGUGAGGUCCUGCAUUUUCAAAAUACAAGACAAAUCAAUUUCAGCUUCAGAGAAUAAAGUGGUAGAGAUCCAAGGAAACAAUUAUCAAUGCCUUACCAGGUUUUCCUCCAGAAAGUAUAGCACUUUCCGUGGGUUCAACACCAAUGACCUGGUACACAUAAACAUCAACUAGAUUAAACACUAGUUAAACAAACCUAUCUCUAACUAUAAGAUUCAGUAAGCCCCUUGGCUAUCUACAUACCUUCAGUUCAGGUUUCCUUUCUUUAAUGUACCGGCCAACACCAGUGAUGGUUCCACCAGUUCCAAUUCCCGCAACCAAUAUAUCCACCUUGCCUCUUGUAUCUUCCCAAAUCUCAGGACCAGUAGUCUCGUAAUGAAUCUGCAUUUUGUUUCCAUUAAAUACACUAACAGAUACCUUGCAGCUUAGAGAGUAAGAAAAAUGGGAAAGGAAGUAACCCACAGACCUUGGGAUUGGCUGGGUUGUCAAACUGUUGGAGCAUGUAUGAGUCAGGAGUGUUCUUCAAGAUCUCUUCAGCCUUCUGAAUAGCUCCAGUCAUACCCUUUGCAGGUUCAGUCAACACAAGCUCAGCUCCAAACGCCCUCAAAAGAACCCUUCUUUCCAAACUCAUGGACGCUGGCAUAGUUAAAAUAAGCUUAUACCCUUUUGAAGCAGCAAUAAACGCAAGUCCAAUCCCUGUGUUUCCACUUGUAGAUUCCACAAGAACACUCUAGCAAAUUUGCAGCAACCAAAAAUAAAUAAAUAAAUAAAUCAGAGAACUUACUUAUAACACCACCAAGAAUAAUGAAUUGAGUUUUUUUUCACAAUACCUUUCCAGGUGUGAUAAGUCCUUUUUCCUCAGCAUCUGUAAUCAUACUAUACCCAAUCCUGAAACCACAAAAGCAACAGAAGCUCAGAAUAAACAUAUGUGAAGAUACUACCAAAUGGGUUACACAACAAACCUAUCCUUGACACUGCAACAAGGCUCCAUGAUCUCAAGCUUAGCAGCAACACUUGCAACACAACCUUUAACUAUAUUGUUCAAGUACACCAUUGGAGUUUUCCCAAUAAGCUGAAUCAAUUCAUAGGGCAUUGAGAGAGGCAAACAAACAAAGAUUAGACAAAGAAGUCAAAGUCACACACUUUAUGCUCAAAGUAAGAAACUUUAUCACCAAUCUAUAACCUGAGCGGCGUUCUCGGCGAUAUUGAGACCUUCAACCCCAGGCUUGACGGACACAGCCUUGCACACAACACGGCUACUACACCUCUGGCUCUUGAGGGAGAGAGGAGCCGGGAGAACAUCGAAAGCAGCCGCCUUUCUGGAGGAUAAGGAGAGAGAAGAUAGCUCAGGGGAGUAUUUGAGAGGACGGUGGCGAGAAGUCAACGGAUUAAGGAGAAAAGCAGAGGAAGAUGUCGCAGCAGCCAUGAUCGAUACAGAGAGAGAGAGAGAGAGAGAGAGAGAGAGAUGCUUCCUUCUUCCUCCUUUGUGGUUGGUUACAACUUACAAGAGACACUGAUUAGAUCCUACUGUUAGCUCCUAAACGACGUCGCUUGAUUCUCCCUUAUGGUUAAAAACGUAAAAAAAAAAAAACGCAGAGAGGGUCAGAGCUUCAUCAUCUUCGCAGUUCAAGUAACCAAACUGAAUAGAUGUUAUGAAGUGUUUGUAAGAAACGUAUAUGUGAGAGAUGAAGUUGCGUCCCUUCUCGUCCCAUUCAGUGUCAGCUGUCUCCUCACCAUCAGAGUCGUAUGGCUCGUCAUAUGUCGCUCUUGUUCCCACUGAUCCUGCUCUUAUCAUUUCUCUAGAAGAAGCAGAUACCAUAGUUUCGAAGGAAUAGAAAAUGGCAUACCAAGAAAGGUCAUAUUUAUAAGAUACUCAAAAGACUCGUCAUGCAUUUGAAGUUAUGGGGUUCAAUGGGAGCAAGCUACACAAGUUUCAAGAUACAUUAACUAUACAGUACAACGAAUACGAACAGUUUCAGAUUUUUGAAAAUUCAUAAUUAUAUCAAGGGACAGUUAUGGCUUUUGUAUUUAUUAAUAAAACACCAACUGCGUUGCACAUUUCACAUUGCAAAUAUACAGUAGACGAAGAGAUUUUGUUUGCAGAGACGUCUUUAAUGAGAAACUAGAAAGAAACGAAAGAAGAGGUUCCUUGUUGGUCAAGAAAUUACAGAGGAGAGAUUCAAAGCUCAGGCUGCAUAUUCUCGCACUCAUCUCGGAUAGACUGAAAGAGCAGGGUCGAGAGGUAACGUUCCCCAAAGCUCGGGAACACAACCUGGAAACAAAGAUUGAUCCAUCAACACACAGAUCAUACUUCUGCCAAACAUGUGAAUCUAUUACUCACUAUUUUAAUCAAGCCUAGCUAAAAAGAUUAAGUAAAUAACUCUAGAACUAAUUUAAUUAUUCGGUGGAUUGUCACAGAUGCAGGACAAGGGAAUCGUUCUGACUAAAAGCUAAUAAAUCAAUUCCAAUCACCAAGAGACGA
rnacentral:lncRNA from 1 species